rnacentral:rRNA from 1 species
GGGGAAUAUUGCACAAUGGGGGAAACCCUGAUGCAGCAACGCCGCGUGAGUGAUGACGGCCUUCGGGUUGUAAAGCUCUGUCUUCAGGGACGAUAAUGACGGUACCUGAGGAGGAAGCCACGGCUAACUACGUGCCAGCAGCCGCGGUAAUACGUAGGUGGCGAGCGUUAUCCGGAUUUACUGGGCGUAAAGGAUGCGUAGGUGGAAUUUUAAGUGGGAUGUGAAAUACCCGGGCUCAAACUGGGAACUGCAUUCCAAACUGGAAUUCUAGAGUGCAGGAGAGGAAAGCGGAAUUCCUAGUGUAGCGGUGAAAUGCGUAGAGAUUAGGAAGAACACCAGUGGCGAAGGCGGCUUUCUGGACUGUAACUGACACUGAGGCAUGAGAGCGUGGGGAGCAAAC